GAUGAACGCUGGCGGCGUGCCUAAUACAUGCAAGUCGAGCGAACAGAUGAGGAGCUUGCUCCUCUGACGUUAGCGGCGGACGGGUGAGUAACACGUGGAUAACCUACCUAUAAGACUGGGAUAACUUCGGGAAACCGGAGCUAAUACCGGAUAAUAUAUUGAACCGCAUGGUUCAAUAGUGAAAUACGGUUUUGCUGUCACGUAUAGAUGGAUCCGCGCCGCAUUAGCUAGUUGGUAAGGUAACGGCUUACCAAGGCAACGAUGCGUAGCCGACCUGAGAGGGUGAUCGGCCACACUGGAACUGAGACACGCUCCAGACUCCUACGGGAGGCAGCAGUAGGGAAUCUUGCGCCAUGGGCGAAAGCCUGACGGAGCAACGCCGAGUGAGUGAUGAAGGUCUUCGGAUCGUAAAACUCUGUUAUUAGGGAAGAACAAAUGUGUAAGUAACUAUGCACGUCUUGACGGUAACUAAUCAGAAAGCCACGGCUAACUACGUG
rnacentral:rRNA from 1 species